UCUUAUGGAUGAGCAAAGAAAGUGGUUUCUUGAGAUGGAAUCUACUCAUCAUGAAGAUGUGUGAA
rnacentral:pre_miRNA from 2 species